rnacentral:rRNA from 1 species
GACGAACGCUGGCGGCGUGCCUAAUACAUGCAAGUCGAACGCAGUGGGGACGGUUGAGUGACACGUGGGUAACCUCCCAUCAGAGGGGAUAACCCUUGGAAAAAGGUGCUAAACCGCUACUGAUGGAUGGACCCGCAGUGCAUUAGCUAGUUGGUGAGGUAACGGCCCACCAAGGCCACGAUGACUAGCCGACCUGAGAGGGGGAGCGGCCACACUGGGACUGAGACACGGCCCAGACUCCUACGGGAGGCAGCAGUGGGGAAUCUUCGGCAAUGGACGAAAGUCUGAUCGAGCAACGCCGCGUGAGUGAAGAAGGUUUUCGGAUCGUAAAACUCUGUUGUUAGAGAAGCGGUAUCUAACCAGAAAGCCACGGCUAACUACGUGCCAGCAGCCGCGGUAAUAC